UUGAUUGGACCUAGGGCAUAAUACUUACAGUGUGUUUCUAAAUACCAAAGAUUAGUAAGUGCCUAAGAUUUAGGUGAAAAUUUAUGGAACUUUCAAAAUAAUUCCAGUAAUAUUUGACACACUAACAUUACCUUAAAAAUAACAUGGCUCAUGCAUUGCACGGGACAUAAGACUAGUUCUACUAAAAAGAUCAUGGUCAGCAUUCAAAGAAAGGAGAGAAAAACAUGUAAAGAGGUGAGUUUUGCUGCUGGAAUUUUUUUUUUUGUGGGUUUUGGCAGUAGGCGUGGAGACCGAGGAGGAUCACCUCGUUUACCACCACAACUUUCUGCCUUGGUCUUUCAAACACAAAAACUCACAAGUCAAAUGAAAUAGAGAUCAAGCCCCUGAAUAUCUCACACACCCAAACAUGAAAUAUUGACCACUCCAAAAAGUAUUAUAUAUACCUAUUUACCAAAAAGGAGAUCACCAGUGGGAAACCUUCAAAAUGGAACUACCACAAAAAUGAAUGAUUAUUUAUAUUACAUCUCCUGCUACAUUACUUUACAGUGGCCAUCACUUCACCGGCACUAUACAGCCCUUAGUGCUUUGAUACUGGUCAUUUCUGAUGAACCUCUUCAUGGUGGAAUUCAAAGGUAUGUGCAAUGAUCUAGGAAAUCUAACUCCGUUCUUACCAGCUUCAUGAAAACCCUCGGUUGAAUUUCGCUUCGGCGACCUCCAUUACAGUAACCGCCGACGCUAGUGGGAUGAUAGUGUACAAUUUUUGCUUUUAUCCAUGUGUCCACAUUAAAUUUCGAUGGAGACAAGACAACGAUGGCUGCUUGUUUGGAUAGAGAUGAAUUUUUCAAUCAGAUUUUGGAAGCUAUUUUACUUGGCAGAAGAAGAAACCAACAUUUACAGCUUACUCAUGGUACUUUUGUUGGCUUCUUGUUAAUUGAUCUCAUCCACUUAAACAGGUUGUAGAAGGUAUUGGUUUAUCAUUGGGCCUCUUGUACAGUGGUCUUCAUUUGGCAGAAUCCUUCUGCUUCUAUUUAUCUAACUUGGGACAUCUCU
rnacentral:lncRNA from 1 species